GACGAACGCUGGCGGCGUGCUUAACACAUGCAAGUCGAACGGAAAGGCCCUGCUUUUGUGGGGUGCUCGAGUGGCGAACGGGUGAGUAACACGUGAGUAACCUGCCCUUGACUUUGGGAUAACUUCAGGAAACUGGGGCUAAUACCGGAUAGGAUCUCCUGCUGCAUGGUGGGGGUUGGAAAGUUUCGGCGGGUGGGGAUGGACUCGCGGCUUAUCAGCUUGUUGGUGGGGUAGUGGCUUACCAAGGCUUUGACGGGUAGCCGGCCUGAGAGGGUGACCGGCCACAUUGGGACUGAGAUACGGCCCAGACUCCUACGGGAGGCAGCAGUGGGGAAUAUUGCACAAUGGGCGGAAGCCUGAUGCAGCAACGCCGCGUGCGGGAUGACGGCCUUCGGGUUGUAAACCGCUUUCGCCUGUGACGAAGCGUGAGUGACGGUAAUGGGUAAAGAAGCACCGGCUAACUACGUG
rnacentral:rRNA from 1 species